CCCUUAGAUGUCCUGGGCCGCACGCGCGCUACACUGAUGCAUUCAACGAGUUUCUUCCUGGUCCGAGAGGAAUGGGUAACCUUUUGAAAGUGCAUCGUGAUAGGGAUAGACUAUUGCAAUUAUUGGUCUUCAACGAGGAAUUCCUAGUAGACGUAGUUCAUCAGACUGCAUCGAUUACGUCCCUGCCCUUUGUACACACCGCCCGUCGCUCCUACCGAUUGAAUGCUCAGGUGAGCCAUUCGGACUUUCAUCAUGCUGGUUUCCAGUUUUGAUGAAGGAAAGUCUUGCGAACCUUAUCAUUUAGAGGAAGGAGAAGCCGUAACA
rnacentral:rRNA from 1 species